rnacentral:lncRNA from 1 species
AAUUUCAGGAAGAACUGGGAGAGUAGAAACAAAAUUGUCAGCACUUCUCCAUGGAAACCCCAUGGAGGUUUCAGGGCUGAGGACAGCGCUGGGGAAGUCCUGGGGCCCCCAGAAGCCAGAGGUGGGGUAACAAGAGGAUGGGUGGAUGACUUACGCAGGGAGCAGCCCUCUGAAACCGCCGGAAUCGAGGCCUCCUUUGCACCUUGAUUCCACCCAGAGUCUGCGCCUACGCUUUGGGCAGGGGAGGCAGAACCCACGUUGGUCUAAGAGCAGGGAGAAGUGGGCAUGAUCCUACCAUGCUGCAGGGCCUCGGGAUGGGGAUGGGAUUUGCUGCUCUUUGUGCCCAAUUAAUGAGCGAGACGAACAAGCACACUGAGUAGCUUCCUGCCAGCCGUCCCCUUUGGCAGCAAACUCAUCCCCACCUCUGGGCCUUGGCUCGAGUUGUUAGCCAACUCAACCUUGAAGCCGUCCCUUCCUAUCAGCCCAUGCAAAUUCUGCCAUCAGCCAAGGACCGCCUCUUCCUCUUCCGGGAAGCUGACUUCAAGCCAUGCCCUUCCCUUUUGCAAGCUCCCGUGGCUCGCGACCCGCAGCCCACCCCUGCACCAGUGGACACUGCGGGAUGGCCUGGCCUCGGCUCUGCAUUUUCACUUCUCUUAGCUCUCAUCUCCUCCACCACAGAGACAGCUCUGUCUGAGUAUCUUUCUGAUACUGUUCUUUAUCCCCCAGGACUGGCCCAGCCCAGGGCGGUGCGUACAGCAGACACUUAAUGUAACACAGUAGCAGCUUUUAAUUUCUCAGGCCAAUGAGAUACAGACAGUCACUGGUAUGGUAGUUUUUCAGUCAAGCAUCAAGGGAAGAACUUAUUAGUUUGAAUUACAAACAACAGAAGUAGAAAACUCCACAAGGAAAAAUCUCAGCUGGUGAAGAAGCUCAGGAGCUCACAGAAGUGUGAUGAAGUAAUCAAACCAUCGCCAUCGGCUAAGGAAACCGAGGGGUGCAGAGCUGAUGUCGCUUGGCCCGCAAGCCACGGAGAGUGGGAGCAAGAGGAGGUUUGGUCAGGCUGCCUCUGCCCCUGUCUUUCUCGGCCCACAGGCUCCAAGCAGGCAGGACCAGACCGCAGCUUCCAGGUGCUGGGAUCCGGGGACCACACCUUCACCUGCUGCUCUCUUGAAGGAAAAACAAAUAUCUGCCUCUGGCAGGUAAAAAAAAAAUAAAAGGAGUGCGUCUCA